AACGGAUUCUGUUGCAUGUCUGGAAAAGUAGACCUCACAUACAGUCCCACAAAUCCCAAGCACGGCUCAAUUCCACCACAGCCUCCAAAUGCUAUCAAGGACCUCUUCAUUAAUCAAAACUUUGUUAAAGAAGCAAAACAAUACAACAAUUCAUUGGCAAUGGCAAGCAUUGGCAUUAGAGAAGUUGCUAUUCCUGGCUUCAACCCAGGCAUACGAACACAAGGUUUCCCUUGUGUUCGUAUAUCAUUACAUUGCCAGUCCCUUUCCUGAACAGGGUCAAGUGCCCCUCUUUGCUCAGAUCUACUUCCAUGAUCCUGCCCAUGAAGUGGAAUUCCGCCACAAUCAUGCCUCAAACAGUGGGCUGAAUGAAGAAUUCUUGCUGAGAGCACAAGAGGCCAUUCACGGGUGCAACCCAUAUGUGCAACAAUUUCAGUCAGCAAUUGAGUAUGUGACCCAAAAUGACACUGCUAAUGAGCUGAGAAUUGUCCUAACAGCUCACACUCGACAUCGUGACCUUCAUCGCGGCACUGUGAAUCUUCCAUCACUGGACAGCGAUUUUGCUGUCAUUGCUCCAGGAACAACUCCUAUUGAGCAAUUUGGGAAACUGGCUGUCACUCUUCACCUCAGAAGAGGACGACUUCAAACAAUCUUUGCCAUUCAUCCAGCAUAUGACCCACUAUCAUUUGUGCUGCUUCUACCACAGGGGUCCCAAGGAUACCACACUGAACUGAGAGGUGUCACCCCAACAUGCUUUUACCGUUUCCAUCUGCAAGUGCGAAACACUGCUCAUCAUUUCAAUCUACUGCUCCGCGGUGGAAGACUAACACAACAGUAUGUAUGUGACAUGAUGGCAAAAAUUGAGUCACAACGUCUCAACUGGAUUCGCCACAAUCAGAAAUCUAUCAAGGCAGAAAAGUAUAAAGUCAUUGUUGAUGCCCUGAGUAGUGACACUGAGAUAAUCCCAGGACGCCUAACCAUCCUGCCACCCACAAUUUAUGGAUCACCAAGAUGGUACGCCAAAGAAUUC
rnacentral:lncRNA from 1 species